rnacentral:misc_RNA from 1 species
CCUGCACAUGCUUCACCUGAC